rnacentral:lncRNA from 1 species
AUCACAGAGCAGUCGUUGUUGUCCUUGCUAUAUCGGACGGUACAAAAAGUGACAAUCGAUGUUUUCGCUUUCAUUUUUAUAUUGUUAUUGUUCUUCAGUUUUUGUUUUUGUGAAGUAUGAAAGAAACUGGGUUCUUGCUUUGUUCUUGAUUUUUUUGUUUCAUGCAUUUGUUUUUAUUCUUUCAACCACAAUCUUUUUAGUUCUUGCCACUCUAAUUUCAGUUUUAUGAGUGUUUGGAGAAUGAUUGUAAUGUGAUGUUAAAUGGAUUGUUUUUUACAGUAUGUGUAGUGAAGGGAAAUUAGUGGAUGGUGCAGCAAGGGGCUGAUGGUUAGGAAUGAGGUGGAAACAAAAUUAUUCAAGAACACAGGGGAAUAGAGUUACAAGUUGAGGCAUUAUGUUUGAGGAUACUUUUAUAAGACAAUUAAGGGAAGACCAUUU